rnacentral:rRNA from 1 species
AUUGAACGCUGGCGGCAUGCUUUACACAUGCAAGUCGAACGGCAGCGCGGGCUUCGGCCUGGCUGCGAGUGGCGAACGGGUGAGUAAUGCAUCGGAACGUGCCCAGUAGUGGGGGAUAGCCCGGCGAAAGCCGGAUUAAUACCGCAUACGACCUGAGGGUGAAAGCGGGGGACCGAAAGGCCUCGCGCUAUUGGAGCGGCCGAUGUCGGAUUAGCUAGUUGGUGGGGUAAAGGCUUACCAAGGCGACGAUCCGUAGCUGGUCUGAGAGGACGACCAGCCACACUGGGACUGAGACACGGCCCAGACUCCUACGGGAGGCAGCAGUGGGGAAUUUUGGACAAUGGGGGCAACCCUGAUCCAGCCAUGCCGCGUGCGGGAAGAAGGCCUUCGGGUUGUAAACCGCUUUUGUUCGGGAAGAAAACCUCUGGGCUAAUACCCCGGGGGGAUGACGGUACCGGAAGAAUAAGCACCGGCUAACUACGUG